rnacentral:lncRNA from 1 species
AUCAUGGCACAUCGCUGCCGGUGAGUCGCCACGAUUAAAAAAGUGGGAGGAUCGCAAGAAAUAAAUCUCGGGGUAUGCAUGCGGGAAAAAGAGCCUUUUGUAGCCGAGACAAAACCUUCCUUUGUACCCGCUCAAAAUAAAUAACGUGAUGUCAACCCCUGGGCCUUUAAAUCUCCAAGGGCCAACCCUUGAUUUCGGAUUCGGGGUCCAAUGAAAAGACGGUCGCUUUGAGCUGAAAUCGAUCUUGCCAAGAACACUGCUCCUUCUCAGCUUCUCCAAUGUAAUUCUACGAAAAUUUGCAAGGGUUUUCUUCCCGCUUAAACCCAUGAGACAUUAGUUCGACAUUAUUACAUCGUUAUGAGUGUAACGUGCAUUUAAUUUUGACACGAUUAAUUAUUUUUUUUAAUUCAUUUGUUUCAGGUAGUGGACUUAAUCCCGAGAUCAAAAUUUUCAUUGUCUCUUCAGUACACUUGGUAUGUAGAUCCGUCAAAUCCUCUGUUCAACCUAUCGACAGCUAUGCGAUUUGUAAAGGUAAUAGACACUAUAGUCUCUCCCACUUAAUUUUGAUCUCUCACACACAAUUGAGAGUCUUGCUUCGAAAACCCCCCUAUACUUAAAUGAAAUGAAAAUGUUGUUUUAUUGCGGAAAACGUGUUUUAGGGUUACACGCAUCUUUCAUUCAAUUUCCUCCUAAACAAUUUGGGCUUGUUAAAAAAGAAAAAAGGCCCACCUCCAACUUUUAGAAACGUUCACAUUGCACCAUUGAAGGACCGGCCAAUUAUUCGUCCACGAGGGGCUCUUUUUGCAAAUUAGAUCGUAUGAGCCAAAGCCAUAUAUCAUUUAUCGCAAAUUUUGAAAUGAAUUCAAUGUUUUUUUCGUCUCUCGAAUGUAUUUUUUGACAUUAGGAACUUUCCAAAACAAGCAAUUCAACUUCCAUGAGCCUAAUAAUGAGGUGUUUACAGGCUUUUCCACUAAAUUAUGAUGGGGUUAAGCCAUGCUGAGAUUUUUCAUGAACGAAUCUCAAACCAAAGUCCCUCCCAUC